CCUGCCCAAGAGAUCGGGAUAACACCUGGAGACAGAUGCUAAUACCGGAUAACAACAGAUGAUGCCUAUCAACUGUUUAAAAGAUGGUUCUGCUAUCACUCUUGGAUGGACCUGCGGUGCAUUAGCUAGUUGGUAGGGUAACGGCCUACCAAGGCAUGAUGCAUAGCCGAGUUGAGAGACUGAUCGGCCACAUUGGGACUGAGACACGGCCCAAACUCCUACGGGAGGCAGCAGUC
rnacentral:rRNA from 1 species